CGAUUGCAGCUGAUCGUAACUAUUCAAGUUAACGUGUCAAUUUCCACCGGCUUCUUUCCGUUCCGCUGCAGAUCACAAAAGUUCUAUUUUUCCAGACGCCGGGGCAUGCCGGAUAAAUUCAGCACAGAUUAACCCGUGCUGGAAAAGAAGUCGGGCACAGACACAAAAUAAAACAUCCGGCUUCUUUUCAAAAUAAAACACUCCGUGUUUCAGGCACCAUGCAAAUGGGUGGAGACGAAAAAGUAAAAGGUUUAUAGACGUCAUUUCACCCUGAUGACACCAUGGAUGAGAAGACGCUGAUUUUUUAAGCCUAGAAGUAGAUUUCCUCCUCUGGAAGGACACAAUCUACUGCUUAUAUGGUUAGCCUCUGUAGUCUUUAUAGAGACAACUUGUUAUCGCGCAGUUGCACGUGAAUCCGCGGGUACUUGUGAGUUCUUGCGAUUCCUGCUGUCUGUAAUCUGCCACGAAAUUCGCCUCACAAGCAGAUCCAGUAGAAAUUGGUGGAUGGCGAAAAUGGCCACCAUUCUGGAUCAGAGCCUUUCCGAAUGCGGUGGAAAUCCCAGGUAACACGGCCAUUUCAUUAGCAGGGGUGAAUAAUAUAUUUCACAGCAGCAAUGAGUGAAUGCGCAAGAGUUUGCAGAGAUAGAAGAUACAUAGAGAUUAGUUUGUCUGCCAGGGGGCACCAAAAUAAAAGUUCCAAAAGUUCCUGUCAUUAGCUUUAGACUAGACUGCAUUUAUGUGGUAAAAAUAGAUUUUUCAUAGUGCAAUUUGUUUUACAGAAGGGGAUAGAAAUUACGGUAUUAUUUUCAAAAUCAAGCGUCUCUAUUGAAAGUAUAAUAAACUAAAUGCAUGAUCAAAAUCAACAUGUUUUGAGUGAUUUGGAGGUUAACAUCACAGCAACAGUAAAAGCUUAUGAACCUAAAAGCAUUGCAGCAUAUAAAUCCUUUUUUUUUUGCUUUUUCACUUAAAUAUCUGGAAAACUUUGAAGAGAAUACAGCAUCAGUUUAAAAAGUAUGCUGAAAAAUCCCGUAACUGGUGCAGCUGCUUCAUUCAAAGCAAAGAGGUGUCAAGGUUUACUGAUGAGCUAUUCAGCCUUCACCAUUCAUUCAUAACACUCUGUAGACACACAAAGGAGGACAGUCACACCUUCAGAUUCCAGAUGUAAAGCAACAGCCGACGUCGUAAGAGAAAGAAAGAGAAAGAGAAAAUACACAGAGAGAGGAGGAGGACUGUGGUACCGUUUGUUUAGGCUCUGUGGGCUCAAGGUCCUCGGAGAUGAGAGGAGGAGCUGAGGACGGGAAAAAGAAAGGAGAAGUUAGAGUGAAUGAACACACUGAAGCAUUUCCAUUCACAGUUUUCCAUCUUUUCCUCACAAUGUGACAAUCUUCACUGAUUUUUCUUUGUGUGUGACCAUAUGAAUCAGGUUGUGACGACUAAAUACUAAUGUAUUUAUGAAAUGAUAAUGAUAAUGUGCUGAAACUUUCUUUCUUUCAUUUUAGCACCUGAAUAUCCACUUCUGUUUGUAAUAGAUAGCCUCAGAAUAAACAGAAACACAGGGUUCAGCUCUGCUCAUCAAAUUUUAUACUACUGUCCCAUUUUAUUGUGUGUGGGAAAAUCAAUUUAGCGAUAAAGUGAAUUUAAGUGUUCUGGAAAUUGAAACAAGGAGCAGAUAAAAUAACCAGACAGGCAUAUCUGCAGGGCUUAUCUAGCUAAAUAUAUAAAGCACUGCACGUGGUCACAGUGCUGCACAAAUCCUGCAAAACCGUAAAAAGCUCUGCUCGGUGAUUUGUGACACUGUGCACAGAGGUCUAAUAAAACAUAUAAUGGAUAUCCUGGAUAGAGUUUGAAAAAUCUAUGGUGGUUGAUACUUUUUAUAACCUCACCUCAAACCAGAUCAGUUUUCCGAGCAUCUACAAACACAGAAAAAUGUUCUGAGUGCUUAUAUUGCACAAUUUAAGCAUAUAUUCUGGUGUUUUCUAGUUUUUAAUGUCAUUAUUUCAAACCGUUCAGGCUGACAGUGAAGGAAGUGGUGCAGAAGUCCCCUUAUUGUUACUACAAACUGUGAUGUGUAAUGUUAGUACUGUAUACAGUAGUAAAUGUACGCUGACCUCUAUGAACUGAAACCUGCAGUGAAUGAGGUAGAAAAGGAAAAACAAACCAACUUACAAAGCAAAACGAAGUGAAAUCAAGGCGGACACUCUGACAAAAAAUUAGCUUCCUGCUCACCCCUCUGGUUGGUGAUGCAUGUUAAGUAUGAGCCUCAAUCUCUGAAGGUUUUAACAUAAAAAAAUGAAGAUCAGUGCAUGUACUUUCGUGCACAACAACUACUCUCCUUCUUCAUCUUCUUCGUGCAUGCCAGCAAGUCUAUCCAGAAACUGAACUGCAUAAAUGGGUCACUUAGAGGGCGCAGAGAUAUAAAGUUGCUUUCACUGUUGGACAUACAACCCAUCAGCCUCUUGCUAUCAUGUUUGUCAACUGUUUUGGUACAACAUAGUAGGCCAACCAGGAGAUGCCAAGUGACUUUUUCAAAUCAAACCAUUCCUCCUUGGUGUUUAUAAACUGGAACAAGACAGUAAUUUACUGAAAGUGGGGCAGUCAGGAUCUGAGGAAGUGCCGGUUUUUGGGAGAAAUCUUGAAUGUAAACUCUACCCCUACCAACCAGUUUUCCCUUCAGCCCGCCCACAAACAGACGCUCCUGCUCGCUUGUAUCGUUCCAAUUGAAUUCAGAUAUAAUGCAGAUAAAUACUUCAGAUCAUUACAAAUGGGGCCCGGUCAAGGUGAAAGUCAAAAAAAUCCUGCCUACUCCACCUUUAGCUCACCAAAUUGAGCUUUAACAGUAGCAAAUGUUCUGACAUGUUUUUGAGAGAAAAAAAAUCUGAGUUUUUUGGUGGUGAAUUUACAAAAGACAGGGACAAGAUCUCAAGACAGAAAAUUAGGCAUGAGCCAUAAAAAUCUUGCAAAUUGACAGGAAAGUAGUUAAGCAGUCCAUGACAUAACGAGCAUAAAUUUGCAAUAACCAAGGCUAUAUAAUAGUAAUGAUACCAAAGUAUAUGAAUCAGAUAUUUUCUGGGAUUGAGUUGGAAAAUUAUCGAGAAAAAUGCAAAAAAAAUUUUGAAAUGUAAAAAAUCCUGCAAGUUCCCUUUUCAGCAAGAAAGUCACUAGUCUGUGCUGAAAACAAAAAUACUGCUUUAAGAAUGACUGAAUUCAAACACAGUACUUAUAAAUCCUCCUCUAUACAAGCACAUGCUAACACACACAUAUUAAUCAUUUUGCUCUGCAGACGAGACAGUUCUUCUGCCUUAGCGUCUCGGUCUGAUUGCAUUUCCAUGAAGAAAUGAUCGUAAAUGUUCUUCUGCAUCACCCCGCUGUGAAAGAGUAGGUGAGUUGUGUUUAGUCUCUUUGCUAAAGAAAUCAGUCAAAGUUGAAAAGAAGUUCGGUGGCUAGUACUAUGGCUGGCUGACUGUUGAUGAAGCUAGGUGCUGUUCUGAGCAUUAUUUGUGGCUAUAGAGUGGCGUUUUGGUUUGUUUAAGGCUCCUCAGAUCGCUGUGUAUUGCUAUCCUGCGGUCGUUACUAAAGUUGGAGGCGGUGUCUAACUCGAUGUUCUGGUGUGUUUGACCCUAAAUUAAAUCUAUGCCAGAAUAUCCCCUUUUUUGGGAGCCAUGGCCCCCAAAAUUUUCCAAGAAUUUCUCGUCUUUAACAACAUGCCAUCAGUGUUACAUUUUCAGGAGAGCCAAAAGCUUCAGAGUCAGCAGCCAGGACAGAUUUACGAUCUCUUUUCCUCAUUCAUACGGAGAGAAACUGUUAAAACUGUUUCAUGAGCAGUUAUCGCUUUACUUUUGUUUAUAUCACUUUAUAUUUUUAAUGCACAAGUUGUGGCAAUUCAGAACACAAGUUGACCAACACAUUCCAUCUUGCAUGAACAGUGUUUCCAGCAAUGAUCUCUUAUCUCUUGCCAAGAAAAACCCACUGUAAUUAAUCUUGGCAGGGAUCAUUUGUCAUAUUUAUAUUCAGCGUGGAGGCAGAUACUUAAACAUUAAACACAGGUUUACCCUUUUCCCCGCCUGUAAUGUCGGCAAGAACUAUCUUGUUUUGAUUGAGAAAUGUUGCCCUGAAGAACUCAACCCACAAAGGUGAGUCCCAAAGGUGAACUUCAAGUCAACAUAUCCUCCCAAACCGAUAUAAUCAAAAACUGUUCAGUCAAAGUCAAACAUUUCCCAUUUUUCCCCCUAAAUUCCCCGAUACUGACAAGAACUUGAAAUUUAUUAGAUGCCAACGCUGCAAAGAAAAGCAAACAGGAAAGUCGGAUUUUGUUGUUGGUGUUUUCCAUAUGACAGAUUUAUUGUUGACUAUCACCUGAAGGCAAACGCCCAGUAAAUACAACACAGUCAUUUCUGAAUUUAUGAGCCAAUACAAGCUGCCUGGAAGAACCAUAAACAGGUCAAAAUCUUUUAAAAAUGGUUAGAAUACAGCCUGGGCUGGUCUGUGGUGAUAAAUGAGGUCAUUCAACCCACCUGAGGGGUCAAAUACCCCAAAACCAGUAUGUGUGUUACAAGAUAAAUCAGCCCCAACAUGAGUACAGAUACUUUUCUUCAAUAGUGCUGUGACAUUUUUCUCCUUUUCAAUAAAAAUCUACACUAUCCCUCGGGUUGGGUGUAGGGCAAGUGCAGUAUACUAGUUUGUCCGCUCAGGGCUUCACACUAACUUUUUUUACAAGGAGCACAUGCGCUCCUAAAUUGAAAAGUUCAGAACACAAAAAGAUCUUUAGGAGCACAAUGAAAAUUGAUCAAAUAAUAUGUGUCUUAUUGGUCGACAUAAGCACUAUUCUUUGAAAUCAAUUUUCAGUCAGUUGGUCACGUGACAUGGAGGCUAUUGAAGAAAAUGUUCAAAAUUUACCUUUAAAUUCAACACAAACAUUUUUUAGAGGACAAAUUAGGGAAAUAAAGAGGUGUGUCUUAUUAUCCAACCCUAGUACUAUUAUAAAGGUUCUAAUAAGAGUAUUUAUCAGUAAUUAUACAAUGAUAAGAGAUCAUUUCAGAUAGAUAGGGACACUUUAUUGCACAAGUGAACAAAGUUUCUGCACUUCAGGGUCUCUUAGAAGCUGGGGGGUGGAGGGACGUUCUCUGGCAGGGGUAGAAAGAGGGAUACUGAGUAUACGGGGCCCUCAUGUCAAAGGGGUCCGCAGAGAUAAAGUAAUAAAUGGCUGUCAAUGCAGAUAGGGGCCCUUAGUGAAUGCUUUUGUAGUGGUCCCUUAUUUUUGUGUGAUGCCCUUGCUCUCUGAACUCAUAAAUAAGAAAAAAAUAUUUGAACUAUUUGGAGAUGCGGUUCAUUUACCUUCACAUAUCUGUGCAUGAGCUCCACUGCAUUUUUCACCGAGGUUAGAUGGGAUAUCACCUCUGCUGCUGCCACCACAGGUUACGGCGGGGAACGAGAAAGUGACAAUUAUGAUGCAAAAAUAUCAUUAUUGUGAUAUUUUAUGGUGAAAACCUGAUAAUGUGACAGGCCUACAAAUCUCUUAAAACCACCGGGGGCACCAUCAGUCAGUUUUCCAGUCAAUCAUAGCUUCAGGUGUGGAGGAGGAAGUUCAAAUUGUGGGCUAUUCAAACUGCUGCUCCCUGUUUCUCUCUCUCUCACACAAACACUCACCUGAACACCUCUGUGUACGGUGGGCUGGAUUGAUAGUCAGUGUGUGUGUGAGGCCUGUGGGCUGUCACACUGUGCUGCCUCGCCGGGUAAUGAAAAUUCAAUCAGGUGCUUGAAUACUCUCUGAGUGCUGUGUAGAAAGUGAUGGGAAACGCUGAUAGGUGACAGCUUUCCACACGAUCUGAAGGGUUUACCCCAUGGGUCAGCAGAGUGUCUUUAGUAUGUGUGAGUAUCUGUGUGUGUGAGGUCAGGUUGGCUGAAAAACUACAUGUAUAAUGUGAAAACUAUUGAUUUUGACUGAUGUAUUCAUUAAUAAAAUACUUACUUUUCAGUCUUGAGGGUCACAAGCAAGGUAGAGUUUAAUGUUUGCAGGCCAUGCUGCAAAUGAGUGACCGCUGGAUCAAAAAUAGUCGAUAAAUAAUGCACAAUUAUGGGUAAAAUAGGAGGCCCACAACCAUACACACACACGGUCACACACACACACACACACACACACACAGUUCUUAAACUUGUCUCGUGUAAAGGGGGUGAAAAUCAAUACUGUAUCGCCAUCUUGUGGCCAAACUGAAAACCAGGAGAGAUAAUCUGAGAUACAUUUCUACUUUAAACCUGCACAAAUGAGUAACUGCAGUUAAAAUGUUGUGGGAUUGCCAUUUAAAAAUGUUGCAACAACAUGAAGUCACAUCAGAAAAUGCCAAAAAAGAAACUUCAAUAAAUACUGGACAUGGACCAAUUAUAGGUUGGCCAAUUAACUGAGUUAAUUAAGACCGAUCACCAUUAUCUUUCUCAUAACAUAAUUGGCAGAGACAACCAUGUAUAUUUGAUUUAAAUGUAAUAAAAUAUACUUUAAUAACCGAUUAUAUUUUUUCCUUUAUAAUGUUAGAUUGCUUGACAGAAAUCUAAAAGUAAUUUGGGCCUACAUUGAACAAAGCCAAAUCAUUUUCCAUCCUCAUCAAUUUUAAUAAAUAUUCAGUAAGGCUCAAAAAUUGUAAUUUGAAUUUGUUUGUGUUGUUUAAACAAAUCAAUAAAAAGCAAACCAAAAAAGAAACCCAACAUAAUGAUAUCAGGAUGUAUAUAUCGGCCAUCAGCUGACCUGCUCUCAUAAUCAGUAUCUUCAUCACCACUAAAAGAACUUUAAUCUGUUUACCACAAAAAUACUCAAUCACAACCUUUUUUUCGCUUCUUCUAAUAAACAAAGGUGAUGUGAGAGGGAUAAGCCCAAUCAUCCCAGUCCACCUU